GUGUGCAAUGUGAAUGUGCCUAUAGAAUAAACCUUAAAACCUCCUACACAUUUUUUACACCAGCUAGAUGUUAUCUACCACAAGCAGAAGGUGCAUACGAGCAGCUGCCGGUGUCCGCUCGCAGAGUGGAGUCUGCAGUGACCUCAUAUGAACACCUGUUGAAAGGUAGAAGUGACUGUUUCUCUGAAAGGAGAGACAAAGGAAGCAGUGUGACUAAAACUGAAGCCAUGAUGUCCUUGAAGAAGCCCAAGGACUCAAUCUGUUUAACCAACAGAGGAGAUGUGCAGCAGAGGGGAGAGAGCGGGCUCAUCAGCUCCUAUUGUGACGACAGAGAAGUCAUCGUUCCGGAUCACAGAUCUGUUGCACAUAGUGUCAACAAACAGGAGGACAGCCCCCCCCACCCCCAGCCUGCCCUUCACCUUUCUACUCACCUG